rnacentral:rRNA from 1 species
CAGCAGCCGCGGGAAUACAGAGGGUGCAAGCGUUAAUCGGAAUUACUGGGCGUAAAGCGCGCGUAGGUGGUUUGUUAAGUUGGAUGUGAAAGCCCCGGGCUCAACCUGGGAACUGCAUCCAAAACUGGCAAGCUAGAGUACGGUAGAGGGUGGUGGAAUUUCCUGUGUAGCGGUGAAAUGCGUAGAUAUAGGAAGGAACACCAGUGGCGAAGGCGACCUCCUGGACUGAUACUGACACUGAGGUGCGAAAGCGUGGGGAGCAAACAGGAUUAGAUACCCGAGUAGUCCCUGUCUCUUAUAC